rnacentral:lncRNA from 1 species
UUUUUUUUUUUUGGCCAUGCCCAUGGCAUGUGGAAAUUCCUGUGCCAGGGACUGAACCCGAGCCACAGCAGUGCCAAUGCCAAAUCCUCAACCACUAGGUCACCAGAGAACUCCAAUUUGGUAAAAUUUUUAAACCAAUACACAUUCAGAUGUUUUAUUUAGAUAUAUAUAUGUUCAGAUGUUCCAUGGUUCUGAGGGAAAUUUUAUGAAAUACUGCAAUUCUUCGCUCAAGUAAUAAAUGAGAACCAAUAUUUAUGAGAUUCUUAUCAAUAUCUAAAUAUUUUUAUGGAAUAAAUAUAUUUUCUUUAUUAUUCACUUGUAGAAAUUUUAGGGUAUAAUAAAGGAAUAUGUAUUACUAAAUGUCAGGACAAUUAAUAAAUGUAAUUUCAUAGACUUUAAAGUUACUGAAAAUUUGUGUAUUACAGAACUGACACAAUUGAGAAAUGACCUAAAAUAUGAAUAUGAAUACAUAACAUACAUAACUAAAAAUAUCAUUUAAAGCAAUUAGAGGAGUUUCUGUUGUGGCUCAGUGGUUAACAAAUCUGACUAGGAACCAUGAAGUUGUGGGUUCAAUCCCUGGCCUUGCCCAGUGGGUUGAGGAUCCAGCGUUGCUGAGAGCUGUGGUGUAGGUUGCAGACGCAGCUUGGAUCCUGCAUUGCUGUGGCUCUGGUGUGGGCUGGUAGCUACAGCUCCAAUUGGACCCCUGGCCUGGGAACCUCCGUGUGGGCUGUGGGAGCGGCCCUAGAAAUGCCAAAAAAGACAAAAAAAUAAAUAAAUAAAGCAAUUAGAAAAUACAGUAAUAAUACUGUAUGGAAAAUUUCUUUUGAAUAAAAUCCUGUGAUUAUUUCUACAUUUCAAAAGUGUGAACAUUGUCAGCAGGCUUGGAUAAAGCCAGGCAGAAUAAGCAUACCUAACUUAAUUAUCAGUCCUUAUUUGAAGGCCUGCUAUGUUAUAAGUCUCAUAUCAGGUGAUCACACUGAAAGAGAGAAAAUGUCCAAGGGCACUUUGACUAGAAGAGGUCACAGCCAAGUAAAUAGUUCCAGUAUAAUUUUAUGAACUCUAUGACAUUCAUUUGGAGGCUUUUAUGAUAAUACAUGAAAAGUGAAUUUUUUAUGAAGCAAAAGAAAUAAUGACUGAAGCCCUCUGGAAUGAGCUGUCCCCUCAGCUGAACCGUAAAACUGGAUGGGAAUUGGUCACGUGUACGUGGAAGACGUUCACUUCCCACAGAGGGACCAAUGGGAACUAUCAGAGAGGCUCAAGAAACAGGUCACAUUCAAAGGAUAAAGGUGUCUAUAUGUCAUGAUGUCCAAGAAAGAAAAAGACAAGAGAAAAGCUUGAUAAAGUAGACCUGUUAAGAUCUUAGGGGUCAUGACUGUAGUCACGGCUCAAAACCUGUCACUCUGUUACCUCUCUGAAAUUCCAACUUUCUCCUGGCUACAUACCAGUUCGGUUAGAGGACCAGAUUCAGUAGCCAUAUGGAAUAAACUGAACAUAAUUUCAUGCCAGUGUGCCAGCCUGUGAAUAGCUGCCAUUAAAAAUAUAUACAUAAGUACAAGGCCAAGAACUGCAUCCCACUCUCCAGGCCCAGAAGCCAUAACCUAUAACUGACAGUUCUGCUGAACCACCCAGAGCAUCAUCCCUUUGUUUGAGGCGUCCCACGCCCUGGACUGAGCUCUUUCACCCAAAAGGCUCUAUUAGGAGGCAAACUUCUGAUUGCAGAUGUUUAAACAUGAUUAUCUACAUUACUAUGGAUAGCUCUUUAUCACCUAUCUAUCAAGUAAAAACCUGAAUGAGAGCUGGGGUAUCUCCACUGUAUAUAACUAUGUCCAUGGUAAAAUGUGAUUUUACUAUUAGUUUUAUUCUAUUAUUUUUAACACAUUUAAAAAUAAUACUUUUUUCUUUUUUUUGUUUUUAUAAGGGCCACACCCUGAGGCACAUGGAAGUUCCCAGGCUAGAGGUCGAAUCAGAACUACACUGCCGGCCUACACCACAGCCACAGCAAUGCGAGAUCUGAGUGAGCCACUUCUGUGACCUACACCAUAGCCCAUGGCAAUGCCAGAUCCUUAAUCCGCUGAGCAAGACCAGGGAUGGAACCCACAUCUUCAUGGAUCCUAGUCGGGGCCAUUAAUUGCUGAGCCAUGAAAGGAACUCCCAAUACUAAAAUAUUUAAAUAAAUAUUUUGAACAUUUGAGUAGUAUCAUUUAUAACUGACUUUAAAAUUUUGAAUUUUGUCCUAGUUUUUCUGUUGUGUCUAAAUGGGGAGUGGAAAGAACCAUAUGAACAUUUUCACAAAAUGGCUAAAUAGUAAAAUGAUCAACUGCUGCUGUAAGGAGUAAUGCUCCAGUGGAUACCCAGGAGUCUCUAAACCAACAACAUUCAACAAAAAAGCAGACCAUCCACAACUGGGUUGGGCACUGUGACCAUCCAUGAAAUUUCCCAAACCACAGAAUUCUAACUCAGUCCCCCAAACCAAACUAGGUGUUUGUAUUUCAGUGAGUGUCUCCAGUGUUGUCAAUACUGCACAUACAUGGACUGUCAUGUGAGACCACAUUUAUAGGGCUUACCUUCUCAGUUCAGAUCUAAACCAGGAAAUUAGUUUUAUAUUUCAAUAUAGUACUGAUACUUAAAGUGUGCACUGAAAUUUUGUUUAGUUCCAACUAGAGACAAAAGCCCAAUGU